CCUACGGGUGGCAGCAGUGGGGAAUAUUGCACAAUGGGGGAAACCCUGAUGCAGCGACGCCGCGUGGAGGAAGAAGGUCUUCGGAUUGUAAACUCCUGUUGUUGGGGAAGAUAAUGACGGUACUCAACAAGGAAGUGACGGCUAACUACGUGCCAGCAGCCGCGGUAAAACGUAGGUCACAAGCGUUGUCCGGAAUUACUGGGUGUAAAGGGAGCGCAGGCGGGAGGACAAGUUGGAAGUGAAAUCCAUGGGCUCAACCCAUGAACUGCUUUCAAAACUGUUUUUCUUGAGUAGUGCAGAGGUAGGCGGAAUUCCCGGUGUAGCGGUGGAAUGCGUAGAUAUCGGGAGGAACACCAGUGGCGAAGGCGGCCUACUGGGCACCAACUGACGCUGAGGCUCGAAAGUGUGGGUAGCAAACAGGAUUAGAUACCCGUGUAGUC
rnacentral:rRNA from 1 species